UAGGGAAUCUUCGGCAAUGGACGGAAGUCUGACCGAGCAACGCCGCGUGAGUGAAGAAGGUUUUCGGAUCGUAAAGCUCUGUUGUAAGAGAAGAAUGAGUGUGAGAGUGGAAAGUUCACACUGUGACGGUAUCUUACCAGAAAGGGACGGCUAACUACGUGCCAGCAGCCGCGGUAAUACGUAGGUCCCGAGCGUUGUCCGGAUUUAUUGGGCGUAAAGCGAGCGCAGGCGGUUAGAUAAGUCUGAAGUUAAAGGCUGUGGCUUAACCAUAGUAGGCUUUGGAAACUGUUUAACUUGAGUGCAAGAGGGGAGAGUGGAAUUCCAUGUGUAGCGGUGAAAUGCGUAGAUAUAUGGAGGAACACCGGUGGCGAAAGCGGCUCUCUGGCUUGUAACUGACGCUGAGGCUCGAAAGCGUGGGGAGCAAACAGGAUUAGAUACCCUGGUAGUCCACGCUGUAAACGAUGAGUGCUAGGUGUUAGACCCUUUCCGGGGUUUAGUGCCGUAGCUAACGUAUUAAGCACUCCGCCUGGGGAGUACGACCGCAAGGUUG
rnacentral:rRNA from 1 species